AUACUGCGGCAUUAGGACCCACACAGACCACACGGUGAGCACCCCCUACUGGCCUCACUAAUACCACUUCUAUUUGUUGUUUUCCCCAGGAGGUCUCCCAUCCAGGCUCUGGAUAACCCUGCUUAGCUUCAGUGGGAAACCAGGCGAGAACUGUAGGGUGAUAUGACCCUGGCAUACUGGGCUACUGUUAAUCUUCUGAUCUUGUUGGAGGUGAGAAGGAGAAAGUGAUCGCUACUGAAGAAGGAGAACAGACAAGACAAAUCUAAUGACACAAAAUUUUACUAAAGCAUGACCCAAAAAUGUUGUAUUGAUAUAUACAUGUAAAUGUGGUUAUUUUGCAUAUAAUUUGUGUAAUAUAAGAGAAAAUAUGUUCCUUCAGUCGUCAUCAUCAUCAUCAUCAUCUCCCAUACACAGUCAGGACUGCAGCACAUCACUAGCUUGAUUAAUGGGUGCUAAAAGAGAUGACAUACGCAUGUUCACACCACAAACCCAGCGUUAAAGCGGCUUGUCCAUGGCACAUGUCUACAUCAGCUGUUUUCUCUCUGCAACUGGAGUCCUCCAACAGCUUCAUCUUGUUAUAUAAAGCUCAUGUGUGAGACUACAAUCUGGUUCAGCAUUGUUCCUGACACAUACUGACUUAUCAGAUGAACUUCAAAAAACAAAAACAAGAUGUGUUAAGAUCUCAGUGUCACUGCUGGGUUUAGAAACAUCCCACAAAUACCCAACCAACAGCAGCUCUGUGGUCAGAAUCUGACACUGAUGAAGGGCAAGAGAACGACGAACACACUGUACACGAGAAGAAAUGACCUGGAGUCUUUAUAUACACACCUACAAGGUUGAGUAGCAAAGCAGGUGUGUUAUAUAAGCAGGUCAGUGUGUACAUAGUGUGGAAAAACUCCAUGCUUUUUUAGUACCUGACACACCAAUACUCUCCAUUAUUUUUUUUAUUCAUCCAUUUCAAUUCUUUUGAUUCUCCAUUUUUAAACCAACCCUAACCUUAAUGCUUGAAAUUAACCUCUAAAUUGAACCCUAACCUUAAACCUUAAAAUGAACCUUUAGAUCGAACCCUAACCUUAAAAUUAAUCUUAAAAAUUCAGCUUUAAAAAUAAAUAAAUAAAUAAAACAAAGGCUACAAUUCUUGUAAAAAAUAAAUAAAUAAAUAAAUAAAUUUUAAAAAAGGAUUUCUCUUGAGGAUCAGACAAAUGAUCCAAUAAGUUAAAAACGUCAGACAUUCCUAUUCAUGUAGGGACAUUUGGUCUCCACCAAGAAAAGCAUAACCACACGCACGCGCACACACACACACACACACACACACACACACACACACACACACACACACACACACACCUUACUAUGCAUGUGAGGGCCACCGAUCUACCUAAUUAACGGCAGGUAAUUAAUGCUACACCUAACUCUAACCUCAGUGAACAAAAGGAAAGCUUUUGGCUCUUUUAGUUUUUUUUUGUUUUUGUUUUAAAUAAAAGCUUCAGGUCUUGUGAAAAAGCCAUUGACCUUUUUAGGACCAGCCUAAUGUUUCUUUCUUUCUUUCUUUCUUUCUUUCUUUCUUUCUUUCUUUCUUUCUUUCUCUCUCUGACUCACUCACUCUCCUUUGAGAACCUCCCACUGACCUAAUUAUGAAGGCGGCUAAUUAAUGUGAUGCUUCACCUAAACCUAACCCUUACAUUAACCUUAGUAACAUUAAUAAGAGACCUUUUGUCACUGCAAUUUUUCUUUAAAACAAUGCUUAUGUUUCCCUCUUAAGGACCAGACAAAUGUCCCCAUAAUAUAUUUUGGUAGGGACAUUUGGUACCUAAACAUUUAUUUAAAAAAUAUUUAUUUUCUGUGUAUUCUCACACACACUCACACUCACACACACGCACACACACACACACGCACACACACACACACAGUGUAGCAGGCCACCACACGGACACUACCAUUCAGAGACCAUACUUGUGAUUGGUUCAGUGGUGAUCAGUUUUCAUGUUUGGAAGACUGCAAGAUGUACAGUGAUGAAGGGAUGACACGAGAGGGAACGGAAAUCUGUCAUAUGCAGCAUGUUUCCAAAAAUAAACUUUUGAGUUCCAUGUUGUGCUGUGGUCCUACAAUCCCACAACUUUCCUUGUUUUGUCUCCUGGAAACUUUACUAAGCCACUUAAGGAGGAAUGCUGGUUGGAGAGAGAUUAUCAACUGGUGAAACUAGUUUCAGUGCAACACCCCUUUGGUACCACAGUGAAGAACCAAGCUUAAUAAACACACACACACACACACACACACUAGAUAUUGGUGUUGCAAAGAAUUUAGUGGUGUUUCUGAGGUCUGAGUUGUUUUUCUUUAAUGCUGGUGCUCCAAGUUUUCUGAAAUUUGAACAUCAGUGCUACAUGACAAAGUCUUAAGUUUGAGCUCUAUAUUAAAAUCUAUUAUGAAUGACUAAAGAAAUGAUUGACAUAUAGAAAAAUGUAGAAUCUCUUGCAGAACUCUAAAAAAAAUCUAAUCGCUAAUCGCAAUUCAGCCAAUAUUCUUGUGUUCCUGCCCUUACCAGGCUCCUGUGUUUUUAAAAUCUAAGUCAAGUGACUUAUGUCAUGAAGAGGCCUGAUUGCCAAAGAUUUG
ensembl:lncRNA